UAUUUUUGGUAUAGUGGUUUGAGCACUGGACUAUGACUCUGGAGACUAGGGUUCAAUUCCCUGAGUCACAC